ACAGCGCGCGGCGUAACGGGUGCCCUCCCCCGACGGGAGGGUGAAAAGGGAAGUCGGUCCAAAGUCCGGCGCUGCCCCCGCAACUGUAGCCGGUGAGCCGGCGUGCCAAUCUGCCACUGGAGCCUUCAUGGUUCCGGGAAGGCGGCGCGCCAGCGAUGACCCGGGAGCCAGGAGACCUGCCCGCUACGGUCGAUUCCU
rnacentral:ncRNA from 2 species